rnacentral:rRNA from 1 species
UACGUAGGGCGCAAGCGUUGUCCGGAAUUAUUGGGCGUAAAGAGCUCGUAGGCGGCCUGUUACGUCUGCUGUGAAAUCCCGGGGCUUAACCCCGGGCGUGCAGUGGAUACGGGCAGGCUGGAGGCAGGCAGGGGAGAACGGAAUUCCCGGUGUAGCGGUGAAAUGCGCAGAUAUCGGGAGGAACACCGGUGGCGAAGGCGGUUCUCUGGGCCUGCACUGACGCUGAGGAGCGAAAGCGUGGGGAGCGAACAGG